rnacentral:rRNA from 1 species
AGCAGCAGGCGCGCAAAUUACCCACUCCCGGCACGGGGAGGUAGUGACGAAAAAUAACGAUACGGGACUCAUCCGAGGCCCCGUAAUCGGAAUGAGGACACUUUAAACCCUUUAACGAGUAUCCAUUGGAGGGCAAGUCUGGUGCCAGCAGCCGCGGUAAUUCCAGCUCCAAUAGCGUAUAUUAAAGUUGUUGCGGUUAAAAAGCUCGUAGUUGGACUUGUGUCCCACGCUGUCGGUUCACCGUUCGUCGGUGUUUAACUGGCAUGCCCGUGCGGACGUCCUGCCGGUGGAUGCGGUCGGCCGUGGGCCUCUGGUCUGCGUGUCGGCGGUCCGAUGCAAUCCUACCGCGGUGCUCUUCACCGAGUGUCGAGGUGGGCCGGCACGUUUACUUUGAACAAAUUAGAGUGCUCAAAGCAGGCAGUGGUUCGCCUGAAUAUUGUGUGCAUGGAAUAAUGGAAUAGGACCUCGGUUCUAUUUUGUUGGUUUUCGGAACUUGAGGUAAUGAUUAAUAGGGACAAACGGGGGCAUUCGUAUUGCGACGUUAGAGGUGAAAUUCUUGGAUCGUCGCANGACGAACCUAAGCGAAAGCAUUUGCCAUGAGUGUUUUCAUUAAUCAAGAACGAAAGUUAGAGGUUCGAAGGCGAUCAGAUACCGCCCUAGUUCUAACCAUAAACGAUGCCAGCUAGCGAUCCGCCGAAGUUCCUCCGAUGACUCGGCGGGCAGCUUCCGGGAAACCAAAGCUUUUGGGUUCCGGGGGAAGUAUGGUUGCAAAGCUGAAACUUAAAGGAAUUGACGGAAGGGCACCACCAGGAGUGGAGCCUGCGGCUUAAUUUGACUCAACACGGGAAACCUCACCAGGCCCGGACACCGGAAGGAUUGACAGAUUGAGAGCUCUUUCUUGAUUCGGUGGGUGGUGGUGCAUGGCCGUUCUUAGUUGGUGGAGCGAUUUGUCUGG